GCCGCCCGCCGCCAUCGCCGGGGCCCAGGGGGUGGGAGGAAGAGGAGGAGCCGUGAGGGGAGGAGGAGAAGGAAGAAGAGGAAGAGAAGGAAGAAGAAGAAGAGGAGGAGGAAGGCUCCGAGCUGGGCGUUGCUCUGGCAACGUCGGGGCCUUCGCCCCGCCAUGGCCCGUGAGGGGAGGGGGGGGACUCCCCUCAGGCGCAGCCCCGCCAAAAUGUAUGGGGCGGGAGGUUCCUGCCGAAUUUUAUCGAAAGCUUCAGUUAAAAUUAACCUGCGAAGGCUGUAAUAAGGAAGGAAAUUAAGGGAUGUGUGUAUCUAUAUAAAUAUACGUGUGCUGCGGUGGCUCGUUGGCGGCGAUUAGGGAAGUCCUGCUGUCUGGAAAUUGGCUUUGCCUCCCAGGAAACCUGAGGGGAGCGCUGCCCUAGUUAAUGCUGCGGGAGCUCUCUGGAGAGGCUCGAAAUGAAAUGGAUACAGGGGGUUAUUUUUCGUUCGAAAUAUGCUCUUGAAUAAAUUAGUUUUGCGUCCAGAAAUGGCAUCUGUUUUCCUUGGCUCGGGUGUUUUUCUUAGGAGUGUUUAGGUAUGCAGCUCACACGGGAAGCGGGGCUAAUAUCUGAGCAGCUUUGGAUAUCGGUGCUGUGCUGUGUUAGAACAGAAAUGCUGCUUUAAUUCAAAAGUUUAAAUACAGAAAUGCUGUGGGGUCAGUAACCCCGGAAGGGGGAAAGGACGGGCACUUAAAACAUAGAACUCAUGAGGUGAGAAACUAAGUGUUUUAUAAGAGUUAAGUGGCCUGAUGUUCAGUGACACCAUCUGACAACGAACCUUCUCUUUUAUUUUCAAGGAAGUAGCUGAAAACACUGGAUGAACCUCUGUUUCUCCUGGAGGCCUUGUAUCCUCUGCGUUCCACUCGGGCUGUGGCUGAUGGCCUGGAAGAAACCUGGGCCGGUUAUUACAGAUACACUUAAUAUUAAACAAACAAUUAAACAAAAGUGGGCCCCCUGAACUCAGAAGACCUUCUAAUUUGUGUCACUUGCUGAUUUAUCUCCAGUUCACAGCUCGUUAGAAGAUAAAGCCUUGAAUGAGAACGAGCCAGCGGAGCCACAAAGGGCAGCUGCAGUUUUUGCUCCCUGCACAGGAGGGUGCUCAGCUCCUGUCUUUAUCUGCAGCAAGGAGCCGUUCCCGUGGUCAUUAGAUCGAAGUGGAGAAGCCGUUUUCUGAUCUGGUCUUUUCUUGCAGUGACGUUGAAGGAUCUGUUUAAAUACAGCGGCUCGGAAAAUAUUCAGCUGUUACAGAAUUUUCGGAGGGGUUUAGGUGUAUUAGAACUUGGUACAUGACAGUGUGAAGGGUUUGACUUCCAACCUACUCGAGGCUUUGUCUGCAGGAUCUGGAAAAUCCCAGCUUUGCUUCCUAUGGAGUCGGCAGGGAAGGAUAAAUCAGGAAGAGUGAGGAAUUCUUACUGGUGCUGUUGUCUCUCCUGACAGGAGAGCAGAGCCACAGAGGAGGAAACAGCAUCAACAUUCUCCACAAAGCAGAGAAAAUAG